ACAUCACCGGUUCCUGUGCAAUCACUGAGGUUAAGCAAUGCUGAGCCUGGUCAGUACUUAGAUGGGUGACCACUUGGGAAUACUGCAUGGUGUA